AACAUAUCGAAUAGCAAAUAUAUCCCUAUGUUAUUACUGCAAAAGUUCUAACAUUUUCAAAUAUACCCCAGCAGUUAGGAUCUGUUAAAAAAAUAUAGUUAAUCAUAUGUAAAAUACUUAAUCUUGUUUAGUAAAUGAGAUAAAUUGAUUUUUUUACCUCUCUUAUUUUUACCUCUCAUAUAUUAUUUGUGAUGAUAGAAAGAAAGAAGAUAACUGGUGGAGAGACAUUUCUGCAUAAUUCUAGUAGUUAGGAUUUUUGGAGAAACAUAUUUGUGGUAGCCAAAAUAUUAUUUUACUUAUCUUUUGUUAAAAAAUAAACAGUGUUCUUACGGUAACAAAUCAGAGAGGCAAAUAUGAAUAUUAUUUGACUUUUGUAGGAAUAAAUAUGAAAAGUUGAAUUUUAUAGGGUUGUAUUUGCUAUUCGAUAUAUUUACCAGGGAGCUGUAUGAAAUUAACCCUAACUUUUUUCAUUUGCUAAAUUGUGCCUUUUUUUAAUAAUACUAUUAUAUUAUUAUAUUUUAUCAAUCUACACACUCUAUUUUAAAUUUAUUUUUAUUUUUCUAUCUUGUACUAUUUUUUUCCCAUAUACAUUAGCAAACUAUUUUUUUUCAUUAAUCUCUACAUAUUUUAACAAAUUCAUUAUUUUAGACAAAAUCUAACACCUUUAUUAAGAUGCACCGACUAAAUAAUAAAAAAAAUGCUAAAAUAAAUUUUCACGAUAAAUUAAUUAAAAGUUUCUAUUAAGUUAUUUUUAAUUAUUCUUUAUUAUUUUUAUGUAUUUUAUUAUUUUUUGUGUUAAAAUGAAUUG
rnacentral:lncRNA from 1 species